rnacentral:lncRNA from 1 species
AAGAGCAGAGAGAAACAUGCUUACCACGUGACCCAGGUCUUGCAGAUUAUUAGAGAGAAGAAACUGUAUGCAAAAUUGACUAAGUGUGGGUUCUGACUCGAGCAGACUACAUUUCUAGGGCACAUCAUAAUAAGGGGUGGAGUAUCAGUAAAUUUUAAAAAAGUUGAGGCAAUAUUUGGAUAGGAGAAAUUGACCUCGGUUACCACCAUCAUCCACGCCUUGAAGACCUAGCGCCCCUACCUGUAUGGAGGGACUUUUGAUAUUUAUAUCGACCAUAAGAGCUUGAAGUACAUAUUCAUUCAGAAGGAUCUC